GGCCGCUUAGCUCAGCUGGUUAGAGCAUUGUACUAAUACGUAGACACGUAUCAGCAUAUGCAAAGGUCGGCAGUUCGAUCCUGUCAGUGGUCA
rnacentral:tRNA from 1 species